rnacentral:pre_miRNA from 1 species
GCCUUUACCAGACAAGCUUAGAUGUCACAGUGAAAUCUCUAAUACUGUCUGGUAAUGUCGU